rnacentral:rRNA from 1 species
UACGUAGGGGGCAAGCGUUGUCCGGAAUCAUUGGGCGUAAAGCGUGUGUAGGCGGAUCGUUAAGUGUCUUGUGAAAUCCCACGGCUCACCCGUGGAACUGCUGGGCAUACUGGCGAUCUUGGGCCAACUAGGGGCAGCCGGAACAAGCGGUGGAGCGGUGAAAUGCGUAGAUAUCAGGAGGAACACCGGUGGCGAAGGCGGGUCUCUGGGCAGUAACUGACGCUGAGGAGCGAAAGCGUGGGGAGCGAACAGG